UUCUGAUCAAUUCUCGCGUCUUUCUUUCUCUCGCCUUCUUUCCUUCGCCUUCUUUCCUUCGCUUUCUUUUGCUUUCUCCCGCGUCGGAGUUUUGGAGUUUCGGUCGCAUCGUAUCAAUAAAUCUGUACUCUCACAAGCUCAUUACACGAUCCAAACAUUUUUCUCCAUCAGAGUUAUCACUUCAGCGCGCGAAUUUUGAUCUCCGAAAAGCACUCUCUGGAACUCAGAAAUGGCAAAUGCUUUACGCUUGUAUUUGUCGUGCAUUCGGAACACUCUCGAGGCCGCUAUGUGCCUUCAGAAUUUUCCUUGUCAAGAAGUUGAAAGACACAACAAGCCAGAGGUUGAACUAAAGACCAGCUCAGAACUUAUUCUCAAUCCUAUCUUAAUAUGUAGAAAUGAGUCAGAGAAGUGUUUGAUUGAGACAUCUAUAAACUCUCUCCGGAUCAGUCUCAAGGUUAAACAGACAGAUGAACUGGAGAACAUCCUCACUAAAAAGUUCCUACGAUUUCUGUCAAUGAGGGCAGAAGCUUUCCAGGUGCUGAGAAGAAAACCUGUACAGGGAUACGACAUUAGCUUUCUCAUAACAAACUAUCAUUGUGAGGAGCUGCAGAAGCAAAAGCUCAUUGAUUUUAUUGUACAGUUUAUGGAGGAUAUUGAUAAAGAGAUUAGUGAACUUAAAAUGUCCGUGAACACUCGGGGAAGGCUUGUAGCAACAGAGUUUCUAAAGCAAUUCAUUUGAUGUCUCUCUCUCUCUCUCUCUCUCUCUCUAUAUAUAUAUAUAUAUAUCCUGAGUUGCUCAUUGCUCAUUGCAAAUUGGCUGCCAUUGUUGAGAGUUUGGAUGGGGAUCGUUGCAUCCAAUAAUUAUGUUGCUGUAAGUAAGUAUUGCCCCUUCUGCAUCGUCUGAACUCAAAAUCUCUUUGCUUUGCUUAAUCCACUUUUCUGAUGAUAAUAUACUGUUUUUAUUAGGUUUCAUUUUUGGCCUUCAUAAAUUAAACGUACUCUCUAGUUUUUUU